UUAGGGGGAAAGAUGAUCAAGUAGAUGAAUUGGAUCGCCAAUUUAUGCAAGAGUUGGAACAACAUAAGGAGCGGUUGGUUGAGGAUGUGAAUGUCUUGGAGGAGAAUGUGAAGGCUCAAGAGGAAAAGUUGGAAGAAAUGAAGACAGGACCAUCGGAAAGAGAGACGUUGGAGAAGGAGAAGAGUGCGUUGGAGGAAGAUGUAAAGAAGUUUCAGGCUAUCAUUG
rnacentral:misc_RNA from 1 species